rnacentral:rRNA from 1 species
AAUCUUGCGCAAUGGGCGAAAGCCUGACGCAGCAACGCCGCGUGGGGGAUGAAUGCCUUCGGGUUGUAAACCCCUUUCAGCAGGAACGAAAUUGACGGUACCUGCAGAAGAAGCCCCGGCCAACUACGUGCCAGCAGCCGCGGUAAUACGUAGGGGGCAAGCGUUGUCCGGAUUUAUUGGGCGUAAAGAGCUCGUAGGCGGCUUGGCAAGUCGGGUGUGAAAACUUCAGGCUUAACCUGGAGAUGGCACUCGAUACUGCUAUGGCUAGAGUCCGGUAGGGGACCACGGAAUUCCUGGUGUAGCGGUGAAAUGCGCAGAUAUCAGGAGGAACACCGGUGGCGAAGGCGGAUCUCUGGGCCGAUACUGACGCUGAGGAGCGAAAGCGUGGGGAGCGAAC